AGAAGAAGAAGAAGAAGAGAAAGAGAUGCAAACGUAUCUGGCUGGUUUCCUUCUUAGUUGUAUUUUAUUGGUUGGCAGCUGGCAUGUGCUAAGUUAAGAUUAAUGGGUUUCUUUUUAUUGCUUGGGUUUCUUUUUAUGGGUUGGUAGCUGUCACGUUAAGAGUAAUGGGUUGUUAUUCUUAAUGGGCUAAUGGUUUAAAUAAAUGGGCUGG
rnacentral:misc_RNA from 1 species